AACGCUAGCUACAGGCUUAACACAUGCAAGUCGAGGGAAAACGAUAUUGGAAGCUUGCUUCCGAUAGGCGUCGACCGGCGCACGGGUGAGUAACGCGUAUCCAACCUGCCCAUCACUUGGGGAUAACCUUGCGAAAGUAAGACUAAUACCCAAUGACGUCUCUGGAAGACAUCUGAAGGAGAUUAAAGAUUCAUCGGUGAUGGAUGGGGAUGCGUCUGAUUAGCUUGUUGGCGGGGUAACGGCCCACCAAGGCGACGAUCAGUAGGGGUUCUGAGAGGAAGGUCCCCCACAUUGGAACUGAGACACGGUCCAAACUCCUACGGGAGGCAGCAGUGAGGAAUAUUGGUCAAUGGACGAGAGUCUGAACCAGCCAAGUAGCGUGAAGGAUGAAGGUUCUAUGGAUUGUAAACUUCUUUUAUACGGGAAUAAACGGAUCCACGUGUGGAUUUUUGCAUGUACCGUAUGAAUAAGGAUCGGCUAACUCCGUGCCAGCAGCCGCGGUAAUACGGAGGAUCCGAGCGUUAUCCGGAUUUAUUGGGUUUAAAGGGAGCGUAGAUGGGUUGUUAAGUCAGUUGUGAAAGUUUGCGGCUCAACCGUAAAAUUGCAGUUGAUACUGGAUAUCUUGAGUGCAGUUGAGGCAGGCGGAAUUCGUGGUGUAGCGGUGAAAUGCUUAGAUAUCACGAAGAACUCCGAUUG
rnacentral:rRNA from 1 species